ACAAGAGUCAUGAACGGGUUCUGGUAAAAGAGAUAAGCUAGUUGACAUCCACGAGAAUGUCUGCCAGUUGCACUGAUAAUGGGGACCCUCAAAGAGAUUUUUCAGUGGCAUGAAUCAUGACUCAAAGUAAACACAGAGAGGAAGAAGAUAAAAAGGAGAUUAGCUAAUGGCGGGAUACUGUGGUCAUCCUAUUGAUGACAUGUUCUUUUCUAGAGUGGUUGAUGCAUUAAGAAAAGUUACCCUACCUAAAUGCAGGUGGGGCAUUGAUGGAGAUGAUUAGCAUACCCGUGAAAUGAAAAAAGGAGAGAUAUAUCAUGUCCUUCUACAGGUUUUAAAAACACAGUCCAUAACCCAUCACCUUUCGUAUCUUUAUCCAUUUCAAUCUCUUAGCUUCUUCCAUUUUUCAGUUUUCAAUCCUCAAUCUUCAUUCAGUUGUAGCCUGCAGGACCCAAAGGAUGGAGAGUGGACAAAUGGUCAACAAGGGCAUGAAGGUAGAGAAUCCAUCAGAGACUGAAAGCAUGUCCAGUGGUGGCACAAAGUUUACUUUAGGGUUUCAAAGACAGACAAGCGCUUCAAAGAUUAAUUGCUUAUGCUCUCCAACCUCCCAUGCUGGUUCUUUCCGGUGCAGGUUACACCGUUCCCCGAGCCUUCAACGAACCAAAAGCAUUGACUCUGCAUCUCUGAGAGACUCAGAAACUAAUAUCAACACGACAGCUGAUGAUACUAGUAAUGCACACAAUUGAGUCCCAGUAAUUCACAUGAACGUAUUGAAUGUACUGUAAGUGUGCUAGCUGUUGCUACCUGCGGUUGUUUGCUAGCAUGUAUAAUGGUCUUGGAGUUGUACAUCUGCUAUUUUCUUUGUUUUCCUCUUGUAUAAGUAAAAUGGUUACCUAUUUCUAUCU